UCCCUCUUUUAUUUUGCCUACGAGCAUGGUGCGAAUCAUCAGAAUCACUGUCAGUAACACCCUCUCUGACCAGUCUUCCAAACCUAUCUAUUUUCUGCGCAUUUGAAGUAGAUUUUUCAUUUUUAUCUUUGUUGCACUCAUAUUUACCACUAAAAGCAGCAUUUUCCCCUCCACCUCCCAAGACAUCUUCUUUUGGGAAAGUCUCC
rnacentral:misc_RNA from 1 species